AACCACAAGCUGGCAGGAUUAAACAUGCAAGUCGAGGGGUAACAGGAGCGCUUGCACUUGCUGACGACCGGCGCACGGGUGCGUAACGCGUAUAGAACCUACCUUUUACUGAGGGAUAGCCUUUAGAAAUGAAGAUUAAUACCUCAUAGUAUUUAGAUUUGGCAUCAGAUUUAAAUUAAAGAUUUAUUGGUAAAAGAUGGCUAUGCGUCUUAUUAGUUAGAUGGUGAGGUAACGGCUUACCAUGGCAACGAUAAGUAGGGGCCCUGAGAGGGGGAUCCCCCACACUGGUACUGAGACACGGACCAGACUCCUACGGGAGGCAGCAGUGAGGAAUAUUGGGCAAUGGAGGCAACUCUGACCCAGCCAUGCCGCGUGCAGGAAGACUGCCCUAUGGGUUGUGAACUGCUUUUAUACAGGAAGAAACGCAUCUACGUGUAGGUGUUUGACGGUACUGUAAGAAUAAGCACCGGCUAACUCCGUGCCAGCAGCCGCGGUAAUACGGAGGGUGCAAGCGUUAUCCGGAAUCAUUGGGUUUAAAGGGUCCGCAGGCGGUCAAUUAAGUCAGAGGUGAAAUCCCACAGCUUAACUGUGGAACUGCCUUUGAUACUGGUUGACUUGAGUUAUACGGAAGUAGAUAGAAUGUGUAGUGUAGCGGUGAAAUGCAUAGAUAUUACACAGAAUACCGAUUGCGAAGGCAGUCUACUACGUGUAUACUGACGCUCAUGGACGAAAGCGUGGGGAGCGAACAGGAUUAGAUACCCUGGUAGUCCACGCCGUAAACGAUGGACACUAGUUGUUGGAAAUUAUUCAGUGACUAAGCGAAAGUGAUAAGUGUCCCACCUGGGGAGUACGAUCGCAAGAUUGAAACUCAAAUGAAUUGACGG
rnacentral:rRNA from 1 species